rnacentral:misc_RNA from 1 species
AAACAACUCUACUCAUGAAAGGAAAAAAGAUAGAUGCUGGUUCAAAUGGUUUCUUUGUGACUCUGUGUACAAAUAUUGAAUUGAUAAACGAAUACAAAUCCCUGAUAAUUCUCACAAGAAAAAAUAGGUGGAGGGUUGGAGACAUUACACAUUUCAAAACAAAUUUACUUUAGCUAUCAUCUUGUGCUGAAUUACAUUCGAUCAUGUCCCCCUCCUGGUUCUCCAUAAUGAUCCUAGUGGUAGGCAUUCACCAAUUUCCAUGCAUUUGCUAGUGCUGGUAAAAAUAUACAUCUGUUUUACAGUUUCCAAACUAAAGAUCUAGUUAGUUGAAGAUCUAAGAGUAAUGGUUUUAAGAUGUGUUUAUCAAAAUUUGUGUAGUCACAUUUAAUUCAAUUCUCACUUCUUGUGAAACCCCUCAUAAUUAUCUAUUCAUGGAUUCUUUUGACUGGUGGAGGCAGAAACUCGUGUCCCAGACCCAAAUCUGAUCUCAUGUUCUCAGCUGCCAAGUUCCAAUCGAUUUGUAGUCUUGUACAGUCAGCUAUUCCUUCUUUUUAGGUCACUCAGUAUGAAACAGAGUGUUGGUAGCAGAAUGUUCACCCUAAGGUCCAUCGAGUGCAACUUGAAAUUGCUCAAGAGCAGUAAUGGAUUUUGAAACCAUAAUCUCCAUGUCUUUAUGGAGUAAGUCUAAAAGACAACAAAUCCUACUGAAGUCUUGAUGUGAGCUAUCUCCUGAAAGAAACACAUGCCCAUUGUUGUUUACCUCAAUCCAACUACAACCUGGUUGCUUCUUGACUCCCUUCUCUUUCAUUUGGUUCAAAAUAUACUCUGCAUCUUCUCUUCUUCCGACAUUCAAGUACAUUUCCGCCAGAAUCAAAUAUAUGCCAGACCUAUUGGGCUCUAUCUCCAACAAACUCUUGCCAGCAAUCUCGCCAAUUCUAAUAUUCUUGUGAAUUCUACAUGCUCCAAGCAAAGCUCCCCAGACACUUGCAGGGACUUCAAUUCCAUCUGCUCUCAUUUGAUUUACAAAAGUCAUUGCCUCAUCAAUGAGUCCAUAUCUUCCCAAAAGGUCGAUAAGGCAGGUAUAAUGCUCAUUGGUUGGCUGCAAACCACAAUUGUUUUUCAUAUAAUCAAAAUAGUAUCUUCCUUGGUCCACCAAUCCUGAAUGGCUACAUGCAGACAGAACACCAACAAAAGUUAUGUGA